rnacentral:rRNA from 1 species
GACGAACGCUGGCGGCGUGCUUAACACAUGCAAGUCGAGCGAGACCCCGCUUUCGGGUGGGUGUUCUAGCGGCGAACAGGUGAGUAACACGUGGGCAACCUGCCCUCAGCUCUGGGAUAACUCCAAGAAAUUGGGGCUAAUACCGGAUAUGACCGCUGACCGCAUGGUCUGGUGGUGGAAAGAUUUAUCGGCUGGGGAUGGGGCCGCGGCCUAUCAGCUUGUUGGUGGGGUAGUGGCCUACCAAGGCGACGACGGGUAGCCGGCCUGAGAGGGGGACCGGCCACACGGGGACUGAGACACGGCCCAGACUCCUACGGGAGGCAGCAGUGGGGAAUAUUGCGCAAUGGGCGAAAGCCUGACGCAGCGACGCCGCGUGGGGGAUGACGGCCUUCGGGUUGUAAACCUCUUUCAGCAGGGACGAAGCGAAAGUGACGGUACCUGCAGAAGAAGCACCGGCCAACUACGUGCCAGCCGCCGCGGUAA